GCCCCCAAACGCAGCACAGACAACGGCAUGUGUCAACACUCGUUGCAAAUGAGCAAGUAAAGAGAACGAUUCUGAACUCA